GCAUUUGACCUCAAAUCAGGU
rnacentral:rRNA from 1 species